GCUACAGCUUGGGGUUCCUAUGACCCCCUCACGUUUGACGUUCAACUAAAAUGACUCACAGAAUUCAGGAAAGUGCCAUAAUUAUGCUCACGGUUUCAUUAUAAAGGAUACACAUCAGGACCAGCUAAAUAAAGACCCAGGUCUGGUAGGUUUCCCAGUGCAGAGCUCCCAUUGUCCUCUCCCCAUGGAAUGAAGGCAUUUUCCCCUCAGCACACUGAUAUGUGUCAGCAGCCAGGAGGCUCUUCUGAGUUCAGAAUUUUUAUUGAGGCUGCAUUAGGUAGACAUGACCAAUUAAUCAUAGGGCACACGUUUAGACUCAGUGACCAGUUCCCUUCGCUCUCCAGUGUCCAGGAGGCUGGGCUGAUAACACACAGCUCAAAGCCCUGACCCUCUAAUCACAUGGUUGGUCUUCCUGGCAUGAUCAGCCCCCAGCCUGAGUCAUCUCUUUAGCAGAAACUCAGAGACGGUGUUGGGGGGGGGGGGCCAUGGGUGACAGAUAUUCCUACCAAUCGGGAACUUCCAAGGGCUUAGAACACCCGGUCCCGGCAACCGGGGACAAAGACCAGAGAAGUUCUUUAUUAUACAACAGUGGGAAAUAGAGUGUUAUCCUCAUUUUAUAGGUGGCACUGGGGGAAGAAGUGACUUGUUCAGUGUCACAAGGCUGUGUAGUAAGGGAGCCAGAGCUCCAGCCCCGAACCUCUGACUUCGAGUGUCUUUUCACCGCAGCAUGAUGGCUUCCCUACGGGAAGGGUAAAUUCGGGAAGGGUAAAUGAAUUGUCAUUUCAUCCUCCAGACUCUUGGAGUAGCAGGUUUGACCUCAGUGUCCUCUUGGGAACCAUGGUCACUGUUCCCAGUGUUUAUCAAGAGCUGCUCCUCCUUCGGUCUGGGGCUCACGAAUGCAGAGAAUGUGAAGUUGGUGGCCCGAUCACCGGGAGGCUCCUUGUGUGAUUGGUACACACAGUUUUGCAGACUUGGAAGGCCACCAGCGCUGGACAUCCAGGUUCUGAGACCCCCCCCCCCCCCCGCCCCGGCUCGAAGGAAGGUUCUGAGACCCCCCUGGCUCGAAGGAAGAACAACUGAGCCCUUGUCUUAGUUCUAACUGGUUCCUUGAUGCCCGAGAGGACGCGUACCCCAGCCCACAAUCCUCAAUAAAAACUCCAGCCCCUGGACAAACACAGGACUCCCUCUCCUUUCCUUUCUGAGUCUCCUAGAUAGUGUCCAUACCCGCACUCUCUCUCGAUCUUCAGUGAACCCCGAUUUCCCCUCCCACAGCUGGGACCCCCUCCACUGGUCCUGCGGGACCACCUCUGGGUCCCCAGACCCACCUGCUGGCGUCACAGAUGCCCAAGUCCGUGCUCUCAGCCAUCCCACUAAACUGCCUUGAUUAAACGAAAAGAACUUUG